rnacentral:lncRNA from 1 species
AAGGUGGGGUGGGGCUGCUGCACUGAUCGGGCGACUCCGUGGUUGAGUAUUUGCUCUUGCAGAGGACCUGGGUUCAGUUCCCAGCACUUACAUGGUGGCUCAUAACCAUCCAGAACUCCAGCUCCAGGGGAUCCUAUGUCCUCCUCAGACUCCUGGGGGGCAUGGAAACGCACAGCACGCACAGGCAAAACACCCGUGCACACAAAGGACAUUAAACCACAUAGCCAGACUGAUUAAUAUCCAAACACAAAACCUUAAGGCUAAUUUCCUUAUCGUGAGGCUCUGUAUCUCAGGUAGACAUUUAGCAAAGCUUUGCAGCCAUCGGCUAAGCUAACGCAGGGGUGGAGAGGCACCCGGUGCAUGGCAGCUGGCUGUCCCUUGGUAACGCGCGCAGAUGGACAGAAGCAGCCUCAGCUUUUGGUCAGCUUUAUUGUUGGGCAGUGCUGCCAGUCAGCUUCAGACAGGAGGGCAUCAGUGCCCAGGGAGCCACAGGGCACUGAGGCAGGGCUCAUGCAAUGGUGCCCACUGCAGUCAGUCUGGGGAGUGGGGGGGCAAUGAAACAGCCUCAAAAAAAAAAAAAAAAAAAAAAAAAGACUCAAAACUGUUUUUAAAAACUGAAGGGUCUUGAGAUUGGCUGAGGCAAUGCCUGCCGCCUUCAGCAGUCACUGCUCAGAGGGUAGAGCUUGCAGUGACAUCCAGAGUGCACCAGAAGGGAUCCAGGA